rnacentral:rRNA from 1 species
CCCGCACAAGCGGUGGAGCAUGUUGGUUUAAUUCGAAGCAACGCGAAGAACCUUUACCAGGUCUUGACAUCCCGAUGCUAUUUCUAGAGAUAGAAAGUUACUUCGGUACAUCGGUGACAGGUGGUGCAUGGUUGUCGUCAGCUCGUGUCGUGAGAUGUUGGGUUAAGUCCCGCAACGAGCGCAACCCCUAUUGUUAGUUGCCAUCAUUCAGUUGGGCACUCUGGCGAGACUGCCGGUAAUAAACCGGAGGAAGGUGGGGAUGACGUCAAAUCAUCAUGCCCCUUAUGACCUGGGCUACACACGUGCUACAAUGGUUGGUACAACGAGUUGCGAGUCGGUGACGGCGAGCUAAUCUCUUAAAGCCAAUCUCAGUUCGGAUUGUAGGCUGCAACUCGCCUACAUGAAGUCGGAAUCGCUAGUAAUCGCGGAUCAGCACGCCGCGGUGAAUACGUUCCCGGGCCUU